rnacentral:rRNA from 1 species
UAGGGAAUCUUCGGCAAUGGACGAAAGUCUGACCGAGCAACGCCGCGUGAGUGAAGAAGGUUUUCGGAUCGUAAAACUCUGUUGUUAGAGAAGAACAAGGACGUUAGUAACUGAACGUCCCCUGACGGUAUCUAACCAGAAAGCCACGGCUAACUACGUGCCAGCAGCCGCGGUAAUACGUAGGUGGCAAGCGUUGUCCGGAUUUAUUGGGCGUAAAGCGAGCGCAGGCGGUUUCUUAAGUCUGAUGUGAAAGCCCCCGGCUCAACCGGGGAGGGUCAUUGGAAACUGGGAGACUUGAGUGCAGAAGAGGAGAGUGGAAUUCCAUGUGUAGCGGUGAAUUGCGUAGAUAUAUGGAGGAACACCAGUGGCGAAGGCGGCUCUCUGGUCUGUAACUGACGCUGAGGCUCGAAAGCGUGGGGAGCAAACAGG